UGUUGCAUGCCUUUCUUUGCUUGAAUCCAAACUUUAUAAUAAAAUGUUAAUCAAAUACACCCACCGACUGUUUCCUUGUUGAGAUUCAAUUUGCGCAUUCGUACUGAGUUGCCAUUUUAGAGCAACAGCAAUGAGGAAACAGUCGGUGGUUGUAUGAGAAACGUUUAAUUAAAAAGCAUGUAUUUCAGAAAACACAGAAAGGCAUGCAACAACAGAAGACAAACAUAGGUGAUGGAGAUACCAAUGACGGAUCUACAGAGAGGGAGGGAAGUUGAGUCUAGAGAGGACUUGCACUCUGAAGAGGAGCAUAUGUAGGAGGCACAUUCUGUGGAGAGCAGCCUGUCGGCAGCACUAACCCACUCUGAGAGAAGCAUGCACAGUGCCGGAUAUAUGGUUCAAGCACGCAUCAUUGAGGUGGAACAUACCUUUGUCCAGCUGGAGGGUAGCAUGGACAGUAUGAGGCUGCUCUUUGAGGAGUGCAUAGAGGUGCAGAUAGAGGUGGGACAGGUGAAGAGUAAGCUAUUUGUCACAGCCAGACUGUAUUCAGAGCCAGCUAACACUGACUGCACAACAGUAUGAUGGCCCAGUACAGUCACACAGGAGGAGCUCCAGGCCCAUGUCCAGUCUCACAGAGGUAGCCCAGCUUAUGGAGACCCGGCACAACCAGCUGAACACCCUGAAGGAUUGGGCGACGCCAUCCCAUCACUGGGCCGUGAACGACUUCACUCACUGCCAACAAGCCUCACUGUGCCUGCAGCAGCAGCAUGAGGAAUCUAGAAGGCUGGUAUGAGCCGUGCCCGCUAGCCCUGCUCCGGAGGACGCAGGGAAGGAUACCCUGAGCCAGUAAAGGUAUAGUGUAACUGUUCUAAUUUCUUCUCAUCAGGAGACUGAGGAAGCUGAAGCUUCAUUUUUAGAAAAAGGCAUGACAGACAAUUGGAAGAAUUGAAGGGACUUUUGACCCUUAGGAAUGAAGGUUUAUCAAAUUAAUAUUUUUAGACGGUACUACUUACAAUUGCCUGUAUAGAUAGGCUGACAUGUACAAUUAACAUUCCUGGGAGUCUCAAGGUGAUUUUAUUACAUGGGCUGUAUUGAAGUAAGCAAGACAUUUGCUGAAGGGGAAUCAUAACUUUUCCAUGGAAGUACAGGACAGUUGA